rnacentral:rRNA from 1 species
UGGCGGCAGUCCUAACACAUGCAAGUCGAGCGGUAACAUUUCUAGCUUGCUAGAAGAUGACGAGCGGCGGACGGGUGAGUAACGCGUAGAAAUCUACCUAGUAGUGGGGGAUAGCCCAGAGAAAUUUGGAUUAAUACCGCAUACGCCCUACGGGGGAAAGCGGGGGAUCUUCGGACCUCGUGCUAUUAGAUGAGUCUGCGUCGGAUUAGCUUGUUGGUGAGGUAAUGGCUCACCAAGGCGACGAUCCGUAGCUGGUCUGAGAGGAUGACCAGCCACACUGGAACUGAGACACGGUCCAGACUCCUACGGGAGGCAGCAGUGGGGAAUAUUGCACAAUGGGCGCAAGCCUGAUGCAGCCAUGCCGCGUGUGUGAAGAAGGCCUUAGGGUUGUAAAGCACUUUCAGCAGUGAGGAAAGGGGUGUCGUUAAUAGCGCCAUCCUGUGACGUUAACUGCAGAAGAAGGACCGGCUAACUCCGUG